UGUGUUUUAUGUUGUUUGCCCACUUGUUGUGUUUAUAAAAAAGUUAAAAAUUGUUUAUUUGUGAAACUGGCAAAUGAACAUAACAAAAUUAGUGUAGUGCGGGAGAUCUUAGCUGCCAAAGACAUUCUCUUUGGCCAAAAUGGACAACUCCAGAAAGACAGGGGCGGCUGGAGGCAGGGGCUGUAAAUUAUCCGAGUUGGAUACCCUGGUCUUAGAAGUGAUUGGGAAGGAGUCACCAACCUGCGAUGGUAUUCGGCCCCAAGAGAAUGAUGGUGAGGAUAUGUCAUUGCAAGAUUUGAUUGGCAUCACAUUAAAUUGGUAAUUACGGAAGUGACUGCUACCAAGAAGGAAGAAAAGCCAGUGCCUAUGCCUGAGAGCUCCCGAAAAAGAAAGCGAUAUAUGGAAAAUGGUUCUUCCGCCCACGGGGAAGCAGAAAUUAAAAAAUUGAAGAUGGAUGAAAAGGUGGAGUGCCAGAUCGAAAACUUGAAGCUGCAGAAUAAAAAUUUUCACUUGAAAAAUAAAGCUCUUCAGAUUAAAAUUUUGGAGCAAAAUGUAUGGGCCGUAAGGGGGCAUACACCCCCUUAUUUUUUUAGGAACAACUUUUUGUUCUUUAUACUUUUUUUAUUAAUAUUUUUCUUAUUUGUAAAUUAAUUAAAAUAAUUUAAAAUAGUUUGUAGCCUAGCUUGGCCUCUAAUGUCUGUUAUGGUUUGGCUGACUUCUUCUACAUUAUCGGAGUCACUAAGGUUAGUAAUUGUAUAGUUUUCAUCUUCUUCAGUGCGUGAAAAAUUGCAAAGUGUGACCGCACAAGUAAAAACAUCGCUGGUCAUUUUUGGGGUCUCCCGCAAAUAAUUUAAAAUGGGAAAUUUUUCAAUUAAAAUACAAAUUGCAUUUUCCACAACUCUUCUGGUUGGUUUAUGGGCAUUGAGGAAUCUUCUAUUAUUAGAUAGUGGAGGAAUCAGCCAAUCUUUCAGCGGAUAUGCUGAAUCACCUAGAAUGAUUCCAUUCUGAAUUGGACGCCAGCCGUUUUCCAUUCUGCGGAACAAACAAGUAUUCCGCAAGACGCGAGAAUCGUGAGUAUCCCAGGCCAAUUUGCAUAGGAGUAAUAGAACUGGAGAUCGGGUCCGCAAACCACCAUACACGAAAUGGAGUGAUUACCAUGCCUAUCAACAUAAGCUUCUUCAUGCUCUUUAGGUGCAUCUAAUUUUAUUAAAGUGCCGUCCAAACAGCCGCAAACU